UCUCUUUCUCCCGCGUUUUUCUUCCUCUCCUCGGCUCUCUCUGCAACUCCGGCCAUCUCCCUCUUCCGGCCACCUGGGAGCGAACAAGCAGCACCGGUCGACUCCUCUACCCCUACCCAACCUCCCCACGGCGGUAACUCACGGCGACUUGGCCGGAAAAUGACGCAUCGGGUCCUUGAAGUUUCACUGUAGCAGAAGUGGUCAACGCCGAUAUCUUCCCUUUCCGGCCGUCUCCGGCCACCAAACCGGCGUCGAAGGUUCGGUUUUUGGCAAGGAUCAUUUUGCCCCUAGCCUCAAGCCACGAUUUGCAGCGUGGAGGAAGAAUCGAAGGGCGAUGUACCGAGCUAUUGCUCGACAAAGGAACUCGUAUGCAUGGUCGCCUAAAUAGUACUUUUGCAGGCCAAUUUAGCUUGAGGUCGAGCGUACUUGGGGUUGAGGCAUAGCUGUCAUAGCUUCCGCAUUAUAAAAGCAUCGGUCAUUUAUCUUGCUUUCUAUUCUCUUGUUCGCCUGUACAUUAGAUUGCUCUGAUAACCUAUGAGAUUAAUAUUCUUAAAUUCAGAAUUGUUUAUGAAAUGAGAGAUGUGAGAUGUUGUGAUAUAGGGAGCAGGGUGGCUCCAGGAGAAUAAGGAUGAAUGAUUUAGAAGUGUGGAUGUUUUUCUACAGGUUUUGGGUUGUCCAUUUUUAGGGGAAGUUCUGUCAAAUUUUUGGUAGAAUUUCUUCUAAAGUGGGCCCCGCAUGACCUCUUCGGAAUUCAGGGUGAAAUCCGGGGCGGGUCCUGUCAAUGGACCCCAAGCAAAUAUGUGUUUUAGGCGGAAAUAGAAUUCCUAUGAUCACAAUCUGAGGCAAAAAAUCUGCAAGGAUUAAUGUACCUCAUUCAUGCUCAAUAGCUUGACUUCUUCUGUUGGUAGAUGUUGAUGCAUUCUUUUUACUUAUAAGUCAUCUUUACUUGCAAUGAGAAUAUCAGUAAUAGUUCUAUUCUUCCGUUAAAA